rnacentral:tRNA from 1 species
GCUCCAGUAGCUCAAGGGAAGAGCGCGAAUCUCCUAAAUUCGGCGUCCGGGUUCGAGUCCCGGCUGGAGCC